rnacentral:rRNA from 1 species
GAUGAACGCUGGCGGCGUGCCUAAUACAUGCAAGUCGAGCGAACGGACGAGAAGCUUGCUUCUCUGAUGUUAGCGGCGGACGGGUGAGUAACACGUGGAUAACCUACCUAUAAGACUAGGAUAACUUCGGGAAACCGGAGCUAAUACCGGAUGAUAUUUUGAACCGCAUGGUUCAAAAGUGAAAGACGGUCUUGCUGUCUCUUAUAGAUGGAUCCGCGCUGCAUUAGCUAGUUGGUAAGGUAACGGCUUACCAAGGCAACGAUGCAUAGCCGACCUGAGAGGGUGAUCGGCCACACUGGAACUGAGACACGGUCCAGACUCCUACGGGAGGCAGCAGUAGGGAAUCUUCCGCAAUGGGCGAAAGCCUGACGGAGCAACGCCGCGUGAGUGAUGAAGGUCUUCGGAUCGUAAAACUCUGUUAUUAGGGAAGAACAGAUGUGUAAGUAACUGUGCACAUCUUGACGGUACCUAAUCAGAAAGCCACGGCUAACUACGUG